CAGUGACCAACCACAGAAACGGACCGGAAACAUUAAAAUACAGGGUCAUGGAGAGAGAUACGAUGAGCGAGCAUGUGGUGGCAACUGUUUUGUCUUUCUUCCAGAGAAGUAAGGUUGAGAGCAUGCUGGACCAGAUGCUAACAAAGACAACUCAUACCACAGCCCCUUAGCUGUGAAGGCAACCAUUUCAGUCAACAGACACCCAUUCUGAUCAAGGGGGAAGGCAACUGUGUGUGGGUAAAGUCACACAUCCAGAAAACACGCACUCUCACACAGAGCUACUCCAGCCACCUACUUUAGUUAUAUAACACAUGUCGCUGCCUACCCAUCCACCAGCAGAUCUGCACUGCACCCAGCCAAAAGCAGAGCUUCAAUACCAGAGCUUCUACACGGCAAAGGAAUUUCAGCUAACUAGCUAAAUGACCUAUAUGAUAUCCUGACAGUGAAAACUGAGAUUACAGUGAUAUAGAUAUUUUCCAAAAGCGACACCUGACUGUCCACCAGGGUAGGUUUGGCUAAAGUUUAGUUUUCAUAGUAGCUUGCUUAGUGUAUCCCUCACCAGCACACUUAACCCUUCUCAAAGCUAAAAGUCCAACAGAGAGACCACAGGAAUAUUUGUUUUAUUGUGUAAACAGACAAAACAGAUCUUUGA